rnacentral:rRNA from 1 species
CCACUGCUUUGCCUACGGGAGGCAGCAGUGGGGAAUAUUGCACAAUGGGGGAAACCCUGAUGCAGCCAUGCCGCGUGUGUGAAGAAGGCCUUCGGGUUGUAAAGCACUUUCAGCGAGGAGGAAAGGGUGUAAGUUAAUACCUUACAUCUGUGACGUUACUCGCAGAAGAAGCACCGGCUAACUCCGUGCCAGCAGCCGCGGUAAUACGGAGGGUGCGAGCGUUAAUCGGAAUUACUGGGCGUAAAGCGUGCGCAGGCGGUUUGUUAAGCGAGAUGUGAAAGCCCCGGGCUCAACCUGGGAACCGCAUUUCGAACUGGCAAACUAGAGUCUUGUAGAGGGGGGUAGAAUUCCAGGUGUAGCGGUGAAAUGCGUAGAGAUCUGGAGGAAUACCGGUGGCGAAGGCGGCCCCCUGGACAAAGACUGACGCUCAGGCACGAAAGCGUGGGGAGCAAACAGGAUUAGAUACCCUGGUAGUCCACGCCGUAAACGAUGUCUACUCGGAGUUUGGUGUCUUGAACACUGGGCUCUCAAGCUAACGCAUUAAGUAGACCGCCUGGGA